UGAAUUCUGAACAAGUUGAAGUUUAUGGAGAAAUUGGAGAUGGACGCCGAAGAGAAGUGAAUUGCAGUAAUCGAUGCGGGAGGUGACGAGGCUGUGAACAAGAAUAGCAGUCGUGUGGGGUGUGAGAGAGGG